rnacentral:lncRNA from 1 species
ACAAACACAAACACACAACACAACAAAACUAAAAAAUGGAUUGUAAAAACGUUCUCUCACUCGCAUUGAUCUGCAUUGUCUUCGCCGGCGUCGGAGGUCAAUCUCCGUCGUCAGCUCCGACUACAUCACCACCUACCGUCACCACUCCUUCUGCUGCUCCCGUCGCAGCACCUACCAAACCAAAAUCACCCGCUCCAGUCGCUUCUCCAAAAUCAUCACCACCAGCUUCAUCUCCCACUGCUGCAACUGUAACUCCGGCUGUUUCUCCAGCUGCUCCAGUUCCGGUUGCUAAAUCUCCAGCUGCAUCAUCACCAGUCGUUGCUCCAGUGAGUACACCACCAAAACCAGCUCCAGUGAGUUCACCACCAGCA